CUCGCGAGUUUAGAACGUCAAAGUCUCAAAGAAGCUCUGUUGUUUUGUUCAAGUUGAAGAAGAUAUGUUGUGAAGCCCUAAUCACGACCCUUUUUGUUGAGUCUUUGCUUUUUUUCUUUUUUUUUUAAAAAAAAACAAAAGGCGACGCUAUGGUCGCUUCUCGCGACACUGUCGCCUCUCGCCACGCAGGCAGAGGCGAGCGCUAUUUCGAAACGCAACGCAACAGAGGCUCUGUGGCGACACUAUCUCGCCUCGCCUCGCCUCACGCUAUUAGCGCUGAGGCGAGCGCUAUUUAUAACACUGCUCUGUCUUGAUAAAAAAUUUGUCAGAUCUCUGCCAAUAACCCAUGGAAUCUCCCGCCCGUCUUCUACCCUGCAACUCUCCAUACACUUCCCACAAAAGAUUUUGGUAUUCCCCCUUUUUCAGUUGCAACCACACUAAGAGACCCCCCCACAAAUCUCUUCAUUCCACGCCCUCCACACAUAUAACGACUAACAUGUGUUUCAUAAUUGAUGAGCAUUCCAAUCUUUUAGUUCCUUCACUUUUAUUUUAUCCUUCACCAUACCUUCAUUACCUGCUUCUCACUUUCGUUGCUCUAUGUCAGAUAAGAGUUUUAUUACUCUUUCCUCAAACCCCUCAAACUCCAUCCGGAUGAUUCCGGACACAAGAAUUUUCAUCUGAACUCAUGUUGAUAAAUUAUUCCUUUCGUCUCCCUCCCUUCCAACCUUCUUGUUCCUCCUGUCGAGCAUUUUCUUAUUUCUCCGAUUUGUCCCCGAUUUUUCCCUUUCAUCCACUAUCUUACUAUCUCCAUUUUGCCCUCUGCACAACAUUCUGUUCUCCCAACUAUUCGUUAAUUGACCCAUGUUUAACUUAACACUUGCCAGUCAUUUCUUUCAUCUGAAGAGUCAUUUUGCUUUAAGGUACCUUUACAACCAUGAUGCAUAGGGAGGUGCAUGUUCUGCUUUUUUGUCUAUCAAACUACAGUUUUAUACUUUAACAAAGCAAUGAUGCCUUUAAAAAAACUAUUUAUACAAGUAGCUAAGUAGAAAUAGAAAGGACCUCUGUUCAGAACUGUGAGAAAUAAUACACGCGAAAAUAUUAUGUUAUUGAUGUACCCUAACUAUGAUUCAAGUACCCCUAUUUAUAACAAUACACAAUAUCUACGCUACAAAUCCUCCUCCGUGAACUCUCUCCCCGAACACUCUUAUUUCCUCCCGUAUGUUGCUAAAAUUCACUCCUAGUUUUGGUAUCUUCUCUAAUUCUUUAUACAAUUGUCUGUAGAAGACCUUAAUAGCUCUCUUACUUCCUCUUUUUCCUCUUACUUUAUUUGUCCACCUCAAUUAUGUUCACAAAUCUCUUCUGUUAGUGUAAGCUAAUCAAUACAAAAUUAACAUGGCAGACACAGUCACAUUUUUUUAGUCGCAACACCGUUAUUUGUUUUUAUCUGUUUGCCAAUUGUCAUAUUUGGUAACUCCCCCUUCACUUCUUCAUUUUUUCUACCCUUUUUAAAUCCAUCUUCCCCUCUUUCAUUUCUUCCUCUGAGUUCGUUCAUUAGACACCUCACCUUUGUUUCUACCCUCCGAAAAACUUUACUGCUCCACUUUCUUACUUCAUUUUUAAACAGAUAUAAUUCCCCUGCCAAAGAGAAGUAUGGGUGUACUUGGACUCAAUCAACUUCCACACCAAUUACCUGCUAUUUCCUUAGUUGUGUGCCGCGACCACUUCUUUUCAAAUCUGAAAAUGUUUUCAACCUCUUCCAUCCUACUACCACUAGCAAGAUGGGUAUAUGGUCUAAUGUGAGCGAGGAAGAGGUACGUGGAUGGUCUCUGGAACUGUCUCCUC
rnacentral:lncRNA from 1 species